AUACUGCAUUUUACCCUAUCCGGUUUACCUAAAAAUGGCUUGCUUUUAAUCUGGUCAAUUUCACAUAUUUUUAAUCAUAAAAAUUACAGAAGUCUUGAUUCUCCAAACAAAAAGUAUUAUAAAUGAUUCUAUUAAUACAUUAAGUAGACUGGUUUAAUACAUAAGCAGGCCGGUUAACUUAGUCUGAUAUCAAGUUAAAUCAGUUAAUGACCUAAUGCAUGUGAACAAGUUAAAGAACAUAGAGAUACACCAUAAGGUCACCAUAUCAUUGGUAGACGAUGCUACAUUCUCUUAAGAUUUUAUUAUGAAAGGCCCACCUAGGGCCGCCAAGGGGGCCGCCUUGACAUGCCUAGGGUUGCUAAAGGGACGUCUUGACCCGUCAAGGGCUGCCUUUACACGCCUAAUGCUGUUUUGACCUCCCUAAGGCCCGCCAUGACCCGCCUAGGGCCCGUCUUGGGCUGUCUUGACCCGCAUUGGACCGCCUUGACCCGCCUUGGGCCGUCUAGGGCACGCCUAGGGCCCCAAGGGGACGUCUUAACCCGUUAAGGGGCUGCCUUUACAUGCCUAGGGCUGUUUUGACCUCCCUAAGGCUGCCAAGGGACCGCCUUGACCCGUUUAGGGCAACCAUGAUGCCGCCAUGACUCGCCAAGGGGUCACCAUGACCCUCCUAGGCCCGUCUAGGGCCGCCUUAACCUGCCUUGACCCGUCUUGAACCGCCUUGACCCUCCUAGACCCGCCAAGGGGAUGCAUUUACACGCUUUGACCCUUCUAGGCCUGCCUAAGGCCACCUUAACCCGUCUAGGGCCGCCAAGAGGCCGCCUUGACCAGCUUAGGGGACGCCUAGGGCUGCUAUCAUGACGUCUUGACCCGUCUAGGGGCAGCCUUGAUCCUCCUAACCCCCCUAGGGCCGCCUUGACGCUCAUAGACCAGCCUAUGGCCACAAAGAAGCCGCCAUGACUCGCCAAAGGGUCGCCAUGACCCUCCUAGGCCCAUCUAGGGCCACCAAGAAGCUGCCAUGACUCACCAAAGGGUCACCAUGACCCUCCUAAGCCCGUCUAGGCCGCCAAGUGGCCCACUUAACCCGCCUUGACCCUCCUCGGCUUUGCUAGGCCCACGUAGGGCAGCCAAGGGGGCGCCAUGACCCACCUAGGGCCGCCAAAGGGCUGCCUUUACACGCUUAGGGCUGUUUUGACCUCCCUAGGGCACCAUGGGGCCGUUUUGACCUGUCUAGGGGCUGCCCUAACCCUCCUAGACCCGCCUAGGUCCGCUUAGGUCUACCUUGACCGUCUUAGACCUGCUUAGGGCCACCAAGAAGCCGCCAAGACUUUCCAAAGGGUCGCCAUGACCCUCAUAGGCCCGUCUAGGGCCGCCAAGGGGGCGCCAUAACCCGCCUUAGAGUCUGCUGCAUCUAGACCGUUAGAUUUUUAACCGCAAAAUCUGGGUUGUCCAUUUGAGAUCAUAUGUUGAUGUGCAUUAGAUCGAGUCCAAAUUGACUUCAUUAGAUUGAGUCCAAAUUGACUUUGUCUCCACUCUUCGAUCGUUCUCUGUCGUCCGGCCGCCUUGACCCUCCUAGACCCGCCUACGGCCACCAAGAAGCCGCCUUGACACUAAAGCAAAUGGUAUUCAUUAAACGGGGAAUACUGUUUGUUAACCAGUUUUUUGGAAAUUCUUUUUCUGAUAAUUGAACACCCACCCACGGAAUUUAAAGAACCUAAAGGAGCAUGAGUCAUAUAUUCCGCAGAACGCCGCUCUUGCCAAGGCUGUAUGUCUUUUCUCGCGGUCCAGAAUAAAAAACUAAGAAUUUGGACCCGCCUUGACCGUCCUAGACCCGCCUAGGGCCGCCAAGAAGCCGCCUUGACCCUCCUAGACCCGCUAAGGGGCUGCCUAGGGCCACUAUGACCCUCCUAGACCCGCUUAGGGAUACCAAGAAGCCGCCAUGACUGGCCAUGAGCCACCUAGGCUGGUCAAGGGGCUACCUUUACGCGCCUUGACCUUCCUUGGGCCUCCUUAACCCUCCUCGGCCCUUCUAGGCCCACCUAGGGCAACCAAGGGGGAGCCAUGACCACCUAGAGCCGCCAUGGGGAUGCCUUUACACGCUUGACCCACCUAGGGCCGUAGAGGGGGCCGCCUUAACACGCAUAGGGCCGCCAAAGGGUCACCUUGACACGCCUAGGGCCACCAAAGGGGACAUCUUGACCCGCAAAGAGGCUGCCUUUACACGCCUAAUGUUGUUUUGACCUCCCUAGGGCCUACUAUGACCCGCCUAGGUCCGCCAAGGGGCUGCCUACGUCCGCCAUGGGGCCACCUUGACCCACUUUGGCCCGUCUUGGGCCGCUUUGACCCGCCAUGACCUGCCUUGGCCCGGCUUGAGCCACUUUGGACCGUCUUGGGCCGCCUUGACCCUCAUACACCCGCCUAGGGCCACCAAGAAGCCGCUAUGACUUGCCAUGAGCCGCCUAGGCUGGUCAAGGGGCUACCUUUACACGCCUUGACCCUCCUUGGGCCUCCUUAACCCUCCUCGGCCCUUCUAGGCCCACUUAGGGCAGCCAAGGGGGAGACAUGACCCACCUGGAGCCGUCAUGGGGCUGCCUUUACACGCCUUGAUCCUCCUAGGGCCGCCUUGACCCGUCUAGGGCUGCGGAGGGGGCCGCCUUGACACGUCUAGGGCCGCCAAGGGGUCGCCUUGACACGUCUAGGGCCGCCAAGGGGUCGCCUUGACAUGCCUAGGGCCACCAAAGGGUACAUCUUGACCCGCCAAGAGGCUGCCUUUACAUGCCUAAUGUUGUUUUAACCUCCCUAGGGCUUGCCAUGACCUGUCUAGGGCCGCCAAAGGGCUGCCUACGUCCGCCAUGGGGCCGCCUUGACCCGCCAUGACAUGCCUUGGCCCGGCUUGACCCACUUUGGACCGCCUUGGGCCGUCUUGACCAGCCUUAGGCCGCUAUGACCCGCCUUGAGCUGCCUUUACCCUCCUCAGCUCUUCUAGGCCCACCUAGGGCCGCCAAGGAAUUGCCUUUACACGCCUUGACCCUCCUAGGCCUGCCUAAGGCCACCUGUACCCGUUUAAGGCCGCCUUGACCUACCUAGGGCCGCCAAGGGGCUGAUUUGACCUCUCUAGAGCCUGCCAAGGGGUUGCCAUGGGGCCACCUUGACUCGUCUUGGGCCGCUUUAACCCGCCCUAACCCGCCUUGAACAGCCUUGAACCGCCUUGGGCCGCCUUAACCCUCCUAGACCCGCUUAGGGCCGCCUUGACCCGCCAAGGGGUCGCCUUGGACCGCCUUAAUCCUUGUAGACCUGCCUUGUCCCGCCUUUAGCCGCUUUGACUCGCCUUGAACCGGCUAGGGCCGCCUUGACCCGCCUUGAACCGCCUUGACCCUCCAAGACCGCUUAGGGCCGCCUUGACCCUCCUAGACCGCAGGGCUGCCGUAGGGACACCAAAGGGUUGCCUUUACACGCCUAAUGCUAUUUUGACCUCCCUAGGGCCCGCCAUGACCCGCCUAGGGCUGCCAAGGGGCUGCUUACGUCUGCCAUGGUGCCACCUUAACCCGCCUUGGCCCGUCUUGGGCCGCCUUGACCCGCCUUGGCCUGUCUUGAGCCGCCAUGACCCGCCUUGACCAGCUUUGACCCGCAUUGGGCCGCCUUUACUCGUCUUGAAUCGCCUUGGGCCACCUUGACCCUCUUAGACCCGCCUUGACCCUCCUAGACCCGCGUAGGGACACUAAGAAGCCGCCAUGACUAGCCACGGGGUCUCAAUGGCUCUUCUAGGGCCGUUAAGGGGCCACCUUAACCCUUCUUAGGCCGUCUUGAUUGGUCUUGGACCGCCUUGACCCAUCUUGGGCCGCCUUCACCCUCCUCGGCUCUGCCAAGCCCACCUAGGGAAGCCAAGGGGGCGCCAUGACCCACCUAGGGUCACCACGAGGCUGCCUUUACACGCCUUAACCCUCCUAGGCCCCCUUGAACUUCCAUGGCUCGCCUUGGAACGCCUAGGGCUGACAUAGGGCCGCCUUGACCCGCCUUUGACCUGUCUUGUGCCGCCUUGACCCACUUUGGCCCGCCUAGGGCCAUCUUGACCUGUCAAAGGGCCGCCAUGGGGUUACCUUAAUCCUUCUAGACCCGCCUUGACCCGCCUUUGACCACUUUGACUCGCCUUGAACCGGCUUCGGCCGCCUUGACCCUCCUAGAACCACCUAGGGCCACCAAGAAGCCGCCAUGACUCGCCAAGGGGUCGCCAUGACCCUUCUAGGUCUGUCUAGGGCCGCCUUAACCAGCCUUGGCCCGCCUUAGGUCUCCUUGGGCCGCUUUCACCCUCCUCGUCCCUGCCUGGCCCACCUAGGGCCGCCAAGGGGGCGUGAUGACCCACCUAGGGCCACCACGAGGCUGCCUUUACACGCCUUGACCCUCCUAGGCCUGCCUUGGGCCACCUUGACUCGUCUAGAGACGCCAAGGGGGCCGCCUUGACACGCUUAGGGCCACCAAAGGGACGUCUUGACAAGCGAAGGGGUUACCUUUACACUCCUAUUGCUGUUUUGACCUCCCUAGAGCCCGCCGUGACCCGCCUAUGGCCGCCAAUGGGCUGCCUACGUCCGUCAUGGGGCCACCUCGACCCGUCUUGGACCGCCUUGCGCCAUGACUCACCAAGGGGUCUUAAUGACUCUUCUAGGGCCGCCUUCACCCUCCUCAGCCCUGCCAGGCUCAUCUAGGGCAGCUAAAGGGGCGCCAUGACCCACCUAGGGCCGUCGCGGGGCUGCCUUUACAUGCCUUGACCCCCCUAGGCCUGCCUGGGGCCACCUUGACCUGUUUAGGGUCGCUAAGAGGCCGCCUUAACCUACCUAGGGCCGCUAAAGGGCCGUCUUGACACGCUUAGGGCCGCCAAAGGGACGUCAUGACCUGCUGAGGGGCUACUUUUACAUGCCUAAGGUUGUUUUGACAUCCCUAGGGCCCACCAUGACCCGCUUAUUGUCGCUAAGGGGAUGCCUAGGGCCGCCAUGGGGCCACCUUGACCCGUCUAGGGCCGCCUUAACCUGCUUUGGGCCGCCUUGACCCGCCUUGGCCUGCCUUUGACCCGCCUUGAUUUGCCUUGGGUCGCCUUGACCCGCCUUGGACCGCCAUAGGCCGCCUUGACCCGCCUUGGACAGCCUUGACCCACCUUGGGCCGCCUUGAACCCCCUUGACCUUCGUAGACCCGCCUUGACCCUCCUAGACUCGCCAAGGGGCCGCCUUGACCCGCCUUGGCCUGACUUGACUCGCCUUGACCCUCCUAGACUCACCAAGGGUCGCCAUGGGGCCGCCUUGACCUGCCUUGGACCGCCUUUGCCCACCUUGACCUGCCUUGACCCGCCUUGGGCCACCAUGACCCGCCUUGACCCUCCUAGACCCGCCUAUGACCGCCUUGACCCUCCUAAGGCCACCUAGAAGCCGCCAUGACUCGCCAAGGGGUCGCCAUAACCCUUCUCAGCCCGUCUACGGCCGCUAAGUGGCCCUCUUAACCUGCCUUGACCUGUCUUGGGUAGCCUUGACCCUCCUCGGCUUUGCUAGCCCACGUAAGGCAGCCAAGGGGGCGCCAUGACCUAUGGAAAAGAGCAUGAAAAAUUUCCAAAGAUAAGAUUGCAUGGAACAAGCUUGUAUGAAUCUAUGAGCUCACUUCCAAUUCUUCAAAGUUUGUGUACGUAUACGUACUCUUGUGCAUGGAAAAUGAGAGAAGCAAAUGAUGUUGUAGAUGAAGAGAAAGUGAUGUAUGAAGGCAUUUAUGGGUGAAGAAAUAUGUUGCCAUCAAGCAUGAGAAGUUUGAAGAAGGAAAAUCAUUUUCACAUGGAGAUGAAGUUGCAAUGAAGCUCAAUGUUGCUCUAUAAAUAGAGCUUAUUUUCAAGAGAAUAAGGAGAAGGGGAGAGAGAGUGGAGAAUUAGACACAUUUGUGCUCUCUUUUUUUUCCCCUUUUUUUGGCUACUUUUUGUAUGAAUGUUUUGUAUUGUUUUAAGUAUGUUUUUAAUUUGUAUCAUGUCUUGCUAAUUUUCUUAACUAAGGUUAAGGAGGAAACCUGUCACAUCCCGACCCUUAUAUUUUUACCUUAUUUACUAGCGUGAUUAUAAUAAGAAUUUUACCGUCUCGAUCAUUGAGUAAAUAGUUUAAUUGGUCCCUAGAGGGGUUUCGGGGACGAUUAUGUGCGGAGGAUUAUUCGUAUGAGGAAAAUACGACUACGGUAAAAAUGGUAAAUUUUAGCUAGUAAAAGGUAAUUUUUAUUCGGGUAUUAUUUUUCGGGGUGUUUUUAAUUUUGGAAGUUUGGGUUAAAAAGGGAGUGUUGGGUCGGCUGGGCCGAGCCCAACCCAUUUUCUUCUUCUUUUCUUUCUCUCUCCCUCCCGAUUUCCUCUCCGCACCCGAGCCUCCCGCUGCCCGGUUUUCCGGCCUCCCUCCCGCCGUCGUCCGGCCUCCGUUCGCCGCCGGACCGGUUCCGUUCGGUCGGUCUCCCUCCCAGCAACAUUUCUAGACCGGUGACAGCCUCCCUAGCGCCGCCGUGAGUGAGCGGUGCCGCCCGAAAGCUUCGACUGCCGAAUCGGUUUUUUCGCCGGAACUUCCUCCUCCGGCCACCAAUCCGGGCAAGCUUGGUAUGGUUUUGUAGCCCUCCAACCCAGCAACCUUGCCCUAAAAGGACUCACUCCCUCUUGAGCUAGGUAAGGAGAAAUUUGAGGUGGAAGUUUUAUGGUAUUUUUGAUGUUUUUAGUCGAUUGCCCUAGUUAGGCUUGGAAUUGGUGUUUGUGCUAGUUAUGAAAGUUGUAGAGCUUGAUGAGAGGAAGAUGCUGUUAAAAUUUCAUAGGUUUUGGAGGUCGCCGGAAUUGACCUCCGGCCGCCGCUGCCGGCGGAGCCGCCGGCGGCGGCGCCGCCGGUUGGGAGAUUUUAAUGUUGUUAAAUUUGGAAUAUUUUAACGUCAUUUUAAUUUGACGAUUUUUAUUUUCUCUUGGAGAGCNNNNNNNNNNNNNNNNNNNNCAUUCGAUUUUCCUUAGAAUUAAUUGGGGUAAACAUAAAUAUUUUAUUAUUAAUUAUUUUUGUCCACUCACUCUAACGUUAUUAAAUGUUUUCCCCUGGGCCCUUCGUUUUAAAUUGCCCAGUCUGCAGAGUUCGGGUUGGAUCUAGUAGGAGACGAGGCAUAGUCACCCGCUUUUCGGCCAGUUUUCAUCAGUAGGUUACCUGUUCAACCUACUCGUGUUUUCUUGCUUCCGCUUGUGUUUAGUAGCUCUGAAUACUUUAGAAUUUUUGUAUAUUAUGUAAAGUUCAGAAGUGUAAUAUGAAAUUUUCGACUUAGGGUUGUCCAUCUGCAAGGGAGAUUUGCUUAAUCUUUUCAGUAAAUUUUCCUUGGAGGUGGUCCCCGCACGACUUACUCUGGGUUUCAGGGUGAAAUUCGGGGUGGGUCGUGUCAAAACCACAUUAUGAAAUAAGUUUCUUUUAAUUAUCUAUCAAUUCCCAUAGUUAUGUUACUCAUGCCUGUGACUCUUGCUUCUUCGCUUCUUAAUUAUGAACAUCAAAUGCAUUAAUAAAAUCUUUGUUCCUUUCGCCUCUAAUGUCAUGCAUUUUUGGUAGUUUGAAAGUCACUUUUAUUAAUCCAUGCUUGGCUUUGUAAAUUAUGUAAUAUGAAUUCCUUUGAUCUAUUGUCAUUCAAAUGAGCUUGUUUCACAUUUGAUGCUUUGUAAACACUUUGAUCUUUUGUAGUUUCAAUAAGUUUGUGUCCAUGUGAUGCUUUGAUGUUCAUAAUUAAGAAACGAAGAAGAGUCUACUUCAAAUAUAUUUCUUUGUAAACACUUUGAUCUUUUGUAGUUUCAAUAAGUUUGUGUACAUGUGAUGCUUUGAUGUUCAUAAUUAAGAAGCGAAAAAGAGUCUACUUUAGAUAUAUUUCAUGUGUGCUUCAUUGAUAAAUCUUAAGAAAGCAAUAUUAAUUUCUAGAUUGCUACUCCUUAUUCGAGAAUUAGUAGAUAAUAUUUAGAGACUUAUUGAGUAAUGUGGUGGAAUCUGUUAUCUUAGUUAAUUCGCAUCAAGGUAAUCUUUAUCUAUUUUAUUUGUCUUAACUACUUCACCAUCAACUUUCAUUCAAUUAGGUUAGUGUUAAAUUAAUUUGGAUUAGAUUAGUUUUUUCUAAUUUUCAUACAUUCCCUGUGGAUUUGACCUCGCUCUUGUAUAUCUGUACUGCAACUGAUUCGUGCGCUUAUAAGUAACAUUUUAAAACACAUCACCGCCAAGGUGCCGCCUUGACCUGCCUUGACCCUAUUCGGCCCUACUAGGCACACCUAGGGCAACCAAAGGGGUGCACAACCCACAUAGGGCCGCUAAGCGGCCGUCUUGACCCGCCCUGGCCUGACCACCUUAACCCUCUUAGGGCUGCCAAGAGGUUGCCUUAACCCUUCUAAGGCAACCAAGGGGCCGCCUUAACCCAGCUAGGGUAGCCAAGAGGCCGCCUUUACCCGUCUUGGCCCGCCUUGAUCUGCCUAGGGGUUGCCAAGACCCGCCUAGAGUCGCCAAGGGGCCGCCUUGACCCGCCUUGGCCCGACUUGGCCUGUCUUUACCCGUCUUGGACUGCCUUGCUGCCUUGACCCACCUUGUUCCGCCUUAGGCUGCCUUGACAUUCCUAGACCCGCCUAAGGUUGCCUUGACCCUCCUAGGCUGCCUAAGGCCACCAAGAAGCCGUCAUGACUCGCCAAGGGGUCGCCAUGACCCUCCUAGGCCCAUUUAGGGCUGUCUUAACCCGCCUAUGGCCGUCGAUGGGCCAUCUGAACCCACCUAGAGCAGCCAAGGGGUCGUCUUGACCCACCAAGGGGAUGCCUUUACACGCCUAGGGUUGUUUUGACCUCCCUAGGGGCCUUAUGGACCCAUCUUGACCCGCCUUGGCCCGCCAUGACUCGCCGUGACCCUCUUAGGCUCGUCUAGGGCCGCCUUGACCCUCCUAAAACCGGCUAGGGCCGCCUUGACCCUCCUAGACUGGCCAAGGGGCUGCCUUGACCCUCCUUGGACCGCCUUGGCCCACCUUGACCUGCCAUGACCCGCCUUGGACCGCCAUUACCCGCCUUGACCCUCCUAGGCCCUUCUAGGGCUGCCUUGACUCUCCCAGACCUGCCUUGACCCUCCUAGGACCACCAAGAAGCCGUCAUGACUCGCCAAGGGGUCGCCAUGACCCUUCUCAGCCAAUCUAGGGCCGCUAAGUGGCCCCCUUAACCCGCCUUGACCCACCUCGGCUUUGCUAGUCCCACGUUGGGCAGCCAAAGGGGAGCCAUGACCCACCUAUAGCCGCCAAGGGGCUACCUUUACACGCUUAGGGCUGUUUUGACCUCCCUAAGGCCGUUAUGGGCCUGUCUUGACCCGUCUAGGGGCUGCCUUGACCCUCCUAACCCGUCUAGGGCCACCAAGAAACCACCAUGACUCGCCAAGGGGUCGCCAUGACCCUCAUAGGCCGGUCUAGGGCCGCCAUAAUGACUUGGAUACAAUUCACGCAAACGAACUUAUUGUUGUCAAGAUAGGAAAGUAUUUGUGCCCAAGUUAUCGUACCACGGGAAUUAGUGGCUAACCCACAAUCCUAAGCUAAUCGGAACAAAAGUCACUAAGCAAACAAAGAAAAAGAAGAAAAAUGCUACUCUAAAGCACCAAGCCUUAGCAAUGCUCGGCUUCGGUUAUCACCAAAGCCUAAUCAAUACUAAAUGCCUAGUGAUGGGUAAUUACAAUGAGUUGAUAUAUAAAAUGGAGAUUGAAUGAGAAUUAAUUAAAUUGACGAAAAACUAAAUGAAAAAUAAACUACUGACUAAUGAACUAGAGAAUGAUGAGAACAUGGGAGUGUCGGGUGAUCCACACUAACUCAUAUGCAAACAACGAUACCAAUUUCACAAAUACAUAUCCUAUUGUAUCAAGUCCCGUAUCUAAUACCCGUUAAGGCUACUAGACCAAUUAUCCUUUCGGUGUAUCGAUUAUGCCGGUUAAGGCCACAAUCGACUCUCUAACAUGAGCAUUACGCCAGUUAAGGCCGUAACAUCCAAAUUAGAUGCCUAGAGUGCAAGAUAAUAGAGACCCAAGCAAGCUUAGCUACAAUCAAGCUAGCUAAUGGUUACCACGCUUCAAAUCAUAGAUGCACAAGACUAAUAAGUUGUCAAUUUAUCAAUCUAUCCAUCAAUUGUUCAUAACAUUAUCUCAAAGGGUGACAAAGCCUAGAAACAUGCUUAUAAGGACCAACACAUUCGGAUUAAAAGCAUAUACAAUGAAAAUUGCAUCUAUUAUAAUUAAAGUACCAACAUUUAUACAAAAUGAGUUUAGGGCUUCACACCCUAACUCCCAAAAUAGAACUACUCUCUACCCAUAAUCAAAUACAUCAUCAAUAGCGUAUAAGAUAAAGAAAUAGACAAUAAGGAAGAGAGGGAGAGAGCUAGCUUGGUCACUUCAAGCUAUGAGCUAGUAUGAACCCAAAAAAGCCUUUCACCCAACUACCCAAUAGAAGAGGUGGUGCUCUUGAAGAUGAUGCCUUGAAAGCCUUGAGUGAGUCCUUCAGAUUCCCAAAGAAUCUCUAUCUAAUUUAUGAAAUGAGAAAAGAGGAUGAGAAGGUGAAUCGGUGGGAGAGGGCAAAGCACUUCCCUUCUUCACUGUGCGGCUGUGGUCUUCUCUGUCUGCGGCCCGUCUUCAAAAGUGGAUGAAUGAGAUGAUUAUAUAUGACUUGGUCCGGUUGUGUGGCCGUAGAGGAAAAGAAGUGUUUAGGCCACGUGGCAGCUCCUCAUUGGAAGAGGCAUGGGAUUAGCACAUGAGAGGGAAAUGGAAAAUGAGCACGUUUUGGCCUUUGGCAAUCAUAAUUAACCAAUUAACAAUUGGUUAAUUAAUUGAUUAACUACCAAUUUACUUCUUUCUCUUCUUCUUUUUGAGAAGAACUUCAUUUCGCUCUGAAAUUGUGCUAAUUCCCUAUGAAAUCUGCAUCAUUCUUAUUUCCUACAAAUAAACAAAAUGGGAUUAAUUACAUCGUAAUUGGCUUGAAUAUUAGCUUAGUUCAUGUGUUUAGAAUAUAAUUAAGUGUAUAAAAAUACACAUAAUCACAUAACCCGCCUUAGAGUUGGCUACAUCUGAACCGUUAGAUUUUUAACCGCAAAAUCUGGGCUGUCCAUUUGAGAUCAUAUAUUGAUGUGGAUCAACUUGGACUUCAUUAGAUGGAGUCCAGACUGACUUCGUCUCCACUCUUCGAUAGUUCUCUGUCGUCCGGCCGCCUUGACCCUCCUAGACCCACCUACGGCCACCAAGAAGCUGCCUUGACCCUCCUAGACCCGCCUAGGGCCUCCUUGACCCUCCUAGGCCCGCCAAGGGGCUGCUUAGAGCCGCCAUGGGGCCGCCUUGACCUGUCUUGGACUGCCUUGACCCGCCUUGAACCGCCUUGACCUGACUAGGGCCGCCUUGACCCUCCUAAACUUGCCUAGGGCCGUCAUGGGGCUGUCUUGACCAGCCUUGGCCCGUGUUGAACCAUCUUGGACCGCCUUGGCCCGUCUUGACCCGCCUUGACCCGUCUGGGCCCGCUUUGAACAGCCCUGGGCCGGCUUGACCCUCCUAGGGCCGCUUUGAUCCUCCUAGACCUGCUUAGGGCCACCAAUUAAGAAGCCGCCAUGACCCGCCUAAGCUCGUCAAAGGGCUGCUUUUACACGCCUUGACCCUCUUUGGCCCUCCUAGGGCCACCUUGACCCGUCUAGAGCCGCCUUGGCUCGCCUUAGGCCGCCUAGACCCGUCUUGUCCCGCCUUGACCCUCGUCGGCCCAUCUAGGCGCACCUAGGGCAGCCAAGAGGGAGCCAUGACCCACCUAGAGCCACCAAGGGGCUGCUUUUACAUGUCUUAACCCGUCUAGGGCCACGAAGGGGGCCGCCUUGACACGCUUAGGGCCGCGAAGAGGGCCACCUUGACACGCCAAGGGGCUAGGGCCCCCCAUGACCUGCCUAGGGCUGCCAAGGGGCUGCCUACAUCUGCCAUGGGGCCACCUUGACCCGCCUUGACCCGUCUUGACCCGCCAUGACCUGUCUUGGCCCGCCUUGACCCGCCUUGGACCACCUUGACCCGCCUUGGGCCGCCAUGACCCGCCUUGAACCGCCUUACGCCACCUUGACCCUCUUAGACCCACGUAGAGCCACCAAGAAGCCGCCAUGACUCGUCAAGGGGUCUUAAUAACUCUUUUAGGGCCGCCUUGACCCAUCUGAGUCCUCCUUAACCAGUCUAAGGCUACCUUGACUUCACCCUCCUAGGGCAGCCAAGGGGGUGCCAUGACCCACCUGGGGCCGCCACGAGGCUGCCUUUACACGCCAUGACCCUCAUACGCCCGCCUAGGGCCACCUUGACCCGUUUAGGGAUGCCAAGACGCGGCCUUGACCUGCCUAGGGCCGCCAAGGGGCAGCCUUGACAAGCCUAGGGGACGUCAUGAUCCGCCGAGGGGCUGCCUUUACACGCCUUGGGUUAUUUUGAUUUCCCUAGGGCCCGCCAUGACCCGCCUAUGGCCGCCAAGGGGCUGCCUAGGGCCGCCAUAGGGCCACCUUGACCCGUCUAGGGCCGCCUUGACCCGCCUUCUGCCGCCUUGACCCGCUUUGGCCAGCCUUGAUCGACCUUGACCCUUCUUGACCCGCCUUGUACCGCCUUGACCCUCCUAGAAUCGCCAAGGGGCUGCCUAGGGCCGCCAUGGACCGCCUUGGCUCGCCUUUACCCUCUUUAGACCCGCCUUGGCUUGCCUUGGGACGUCAUGACCCGUCUUGAACCACCUUGGGCCACCUUGACCCUCCUAGACUUGUCUAGGCCACCAAGAAGCAGCCAUGACUCGCCAUGACCUGUCUAGGCACGUCAAGGUGCUGCCUUUACACGCCUUGACUUCCUAGGCCCGCCUUAAACCUCCUUGGCCCGCCUUAGGCCUCCUUGACCUGUCUUGCCCCGCCUUGGGCUGCCUUGACCCGUCUAGCUCGGGCCACUAAGGGACGUCUUGACCCGCUAAGGGGUGCCUUUACGCGCCUAGGUCUGUUUUGACCUCCCUAGGGCCGCCGAGGGCCGCCUUGACCCAUCUAAAGCCGAGAAAGGGGGCCACUUUGACACGCCUAGGGCCGCCAAAGGGGCCACCUUGACAAACCUAGGGACACCAAAGGGACGUCUUGACUCGCCAAAAGGUGCCUAUGCACGCCUAGGUCUGUUUUGACCUCCCUAAGGCCCACCAUGACCCGCCUAGGGCCGCCAAGAGGUUGCCUACAGCCUCCAUGGGGCUACCUUGACCCGUCUUGGGCCGUUUUGACAUGUUUUGGCUCGCUUUAACCCGCCUUGGCCUACUUUGACCCGCCUUGAUCAGCCUUAUCAUGUCUUGGGCUGCCUUGAACCUCCUUGGGCCGCCAAGAAGCCACCAUGACUCGCCAAGGUAUCGCCUUAACCCUCAUAGGGCAGACAAAGGGGUGCCAUGACCCAUCUAGGGCCGCCAAGGGUCUGCCUUUACAAGCCUUGACCUGUCUAGGGUCGCUAAGAGGCCGCCUUGACAUUUCUAGGGCCACCAAGAGGGCCGCCUUGACACGCCUAGGGCCGCCAAGGGGACGUCUUGACCCGCCAAACGGGCUGCCUUUACACGCCUAAUACUGUUUUGACCUCCCUAGGGCUCACCGGGACCCGCCUAGGGCCUGUUUGACUCGCCUUGGACCGCCUUGACCCUCCUUGGGCCGCCUUAACCCGCUUGACCCGCCAAGGGCCGCCUUGACCCUCCUGGACCCGCCAAGGGACUGCCUAGGGCCACCUUGACCCGCCUUAGACCGGCUUGGGCCGCCUUGACCUGCAUUGGCCCGUCUUCGGCCGCCUUGACCCGCCUUGAACGCCUUGACCCUCCUAGACCCGCCUAGGGCCACCAAGAACCCGCCAUGACCCGCCUUGACCCGCCAAGGGCCGCCUUGACCCUCCUAGACCCGCCAAGAGACUGCCUAGGGCCGCCAUGGGACCACCUUGACCCGCCUUGGACCCGCUUGGGCCGCCUUGACCCGCCUUGACCCUCCUAGACCCACCUAGGCCCACCAAGAAAUCGCCAUGACUCGCCAUGGGGUCGCCAUGACCCGCCUAGGCUCGUUUAGGGUCGCCAAGAGACUGCCUUAACCCACCUUGGCCCGCCAUUGGCCGCCUUGACCUGACUUGGACCGCCAUGACCCUCCUCGGCCCACCUAAGGCAGCCAAGGGGGCGCCAUGACGCACCUAGAGCUGCCAAGUGGCUGCCUGUUCACGCCUUGACCCGUCUAGGGCAGCCAAGAGGCCGCCUUGAUUUGCCUAGGGCACGCUUAGGGCCGCUAAGGGGAUGUCUUGACCCACCAAGGGGUUGCCUUUACAUGCCUAGGGCUGUUUUGACCUCCCUAGGGCCGCCAAGGGAUCGCUUUGACCAGUUUAGGGGCUGCCUUGACCCUCCUAGACUUGCCUUAACCCUCCUAGACCCGCCUAGGGUAACCAUGAUGCCGCCACGACUCGCCAAGAUGUCACCAUGACCCUGUUAGGCCGGUCUAGGGCCGCCAAGGGGCCACCUUAACCUACUUUGGCCUGUCUUGUCCCGUCUUGGCCCGUCUUGACCCUCCUAGACUAGCCAAGGGGCUGCCUAGGGCAACCAUGACCCACUUAAGGCCGCUAAGGGACUGCCUUUACAUGCCUAGGGCUGUUUUGACCUCCCUAGAGCCCGCUAAGGGGCUGCCUAUGGCAGUCAUGGGGCCACCUUGACUCAUCUAGGGCCGCCUUGACCCGCCUUGACCCACCUUGAACCGCCUUAACCCGCCUUUGGCCACAUUAACUCACCUUGAACCGGCUUGGGCUGCCUUGACCCGCCUUAAACCGCCUUAACCAUUCUAGACCCGGCUAAGGCCAUCUUGACCCGCAUAGAACCGCCUACGGCCACUAAGAAGCCGCCAUGACUUGCCAAGGGACGCCAAGGGGUUGCCUUUACACGCCUAAUGCUGGUUUGACCUCCCUAGGGCCCGCCAUGAUCCUCCUAGGGCCGUCUUGACCUGUCUAGGGCAGCGAAAGGGCCGUCAUGACACGCUUAGGGCCACCAAGGGGACGUCUUGACCCGCCAAAGGGGUGCUUUUACACGCCUAGGUCUGUUUUGACCUCCCUAGGGCCCGCUAUGACCCGCCAAGGGCAGCCAUGGGGCUACCUUGACGCGUCUUGGGCCGGUUUGACUCGCCUUGGCCUGUCUUAACCCGCCUUAACUCGCCUUGUCCUGCCUUGACCCGCCUUGGACUGCCUUGGGCCGCCUUGACCCGCCUUGGCCAACCUUGGACCGCCUUGGAUCACCUUGACCCACCCUGACCUGCCUUGGGCCGCCUUGAACCGCCUUGGGCCGCUUAGGGCCACAAAGAAGCCGCAAUGACUCGCCAAGGUGUCACCAUGACCCUUCUAGGCCCGUCUAGAGCUGCCAAGGGACCGCUUUAACCUGCCUUCACUCCUCUUGGGCAGCCUUGACCCUCCUCGGCCCUUCUAGGCCCACCUAGGGAAGCUAAGGGGGCGCCAUGACCCACGUAGGGCCGCCAAGGGCCUGCCUUGACAUUCCUAGGGCCGCCAAGGACCCGCCUUGACCAGUCUAAGGCCGCCAAGGACCCGCCUUGACCAGUCUAGGGCCGCCAAGGACUCGCCUUGACCAGUCUAGGGCCGUCAAGGACCCGCCUUGACCAGUCUAGGGCCGCCAAGAGGCCGUCUUGACAUUCCUAGGGCCGCUAAGUUGGCCGCCUUGACACGCUAAAGGCCGCAAAGGGGACGUCUUGACCCGCCAAGGGGCUGCCUUACAUGCCUAAUGCUGUUUUGACCUCCCUAGUGCCCGUCAUGACCCGCCUAGGGCCCGCCUUGGACCGCCUUGACUUGACUUGGGCUGCCUUGACCUGCCUUGACUCGCCAAGGGCCGCCUUGACAUUCUUAGACCCACCAAGGGGAUGCCUAAGGCCACCAUGGGGCCACCUUGACCCGCUUUGGACCGGCUUGGGCCGCCUUGACCGGCCUUGACCCGCCUUGAACAGCCUUGGGCCGCCUUGACCCUCCUAGACCCGCCGAGGGCCACCAAGAAGCUGUCAUCACUUGCCAAGGGGUCGCCAUGACCCGCCUAGGCCCGUCUAGGGUCGCCAAGAGACCGCCUUAACCCGCCUUGAUCCUCCUCGGCCCUGCUAGGCCUACCUAAGCCCAUCUAGGGUCGCGAAGGGGGCGCCAUGACGCACUUAGGGCUGGCUUUUCAUGCCUUGACUAUCCUAGGCUCGUCUAGGGCCACCUUGACCCGUCUAGGGCCGCCAAGAGACCGCCUUGACUUGCCUAGGGCCGCCAAGGGGACGUCUUGACCCGCUAAGUGGUUGUCUUUACUCGCCUAGGGCUGUUUUGACCUCCCUAGGGCCGCCAAGGGACUGUAUUGACCCGUUUAGGGGCUGCCUUGACCCUCCUAGACCCGCCUAGAUUCGCCUUAACCCUCCUAGACCCGCCUAGGGCAGCUGUUACACCCCUAAAGUCUCAUAGGCGGCAAGGUGCGCUGCAUGGGUUGUCCUUGCACCAUGUCGGGACGCAUGAAGGCACAAGCAAGGAUAAGCGCAAGUAGGAUGGCAAAGUUGGUAUGCGGCAACAAACCAAGCUAAAGGAAGGAAGGCGGCAUGGACCCUAAGGGCUCGGCAGGGUGCAGUGUCGGGUGCAUGAUAAGUGUGCUCGGCAGGGUGCAUUGUUGGGUGAGGCAGGAUGCAUGAAAAGGUGCACUGCUGGGUGCCUGUCAAGUGUGCUCGGCAGGGUGCUACGAGGGUGCGAGAAGGGUGCGCUGUAGGGUGCUCGACAGAGUGCUGGCAGGGUGCAGCAAAGGGUGCGCGCGGAUGCACUCUAGGGUGCAUACGUGUGCAUUGCGGUUACAAGCGGUUGAGAAAGGGUGUGAGAAGGGUGCAAGGAAGGUGCGCUGCAGGGUGCUGGCAGGGUGCAACAAAGGGUGCGCGCGGAUGCACUCUAGGGUGCAUACGUGUGCAUGGCGGUAACGGUUAAGAAAGCAAGUUAGUGGGAAGUUAUCUCCACAAACCAUGCAAGUUAGUGGGCGGUUACCUAGCACCAAAAGUGGGGAAGUUGGCAAGGAAGUUAUGUAUAUCUUGGUGGUUAUCUGGUUAUCUAAAAGGUAGUUAAUAAUCCUAUAAUAGUGGGGGAUGUCCACUAAUCCUAAAAUAAGGCAUGAACGCCACAACACCUAAGGGAAGUUGGGUUGUAACUUCCAAGUCCAGUAUGAUUAUAAAUAGGGCAUAGCCCAUAGUAUGUAAACUUGGAUUCAGACUUUGCCUAAAAGACUUGGCAAGCCAAAGACGAGUUCCCAUAUAAUUGUAGUUUGUUUUAUCAAUGAAAAAGGAAUGCCUAGUUCCACAAACUAUGUAUGCAUGUGAGCAUUGAGAAUCCCAACACUUGUGAGAAAUGAGGUAGACACUUGUGUGAAAAGAAAGGAUUGCAAUCCAAGAAGGUAUCAGAGUUGGUGUGUGCACACGAAAGCGUAGACCUGGCUUGAUAAGGCCCUCGCCUACCAGAACCAAGGCGUUGUAUGGGAGAUAGAUUUGGCUGGUCGAAGUUCAAAAGAGCCUAGAUGCCAUCACGGAGCCUUGCAUAUUGUUGCGAAACCAACAAAGUUGAGAAAAAUUCCGCUUCGUACUAAAGGCCCGUGACAGCAGCCAUGAUGCCGCCAUGACUCGCCAAGGGGUCACCAUGACCCUCCUAGGCCCGUUUAGGGCCGCCAAGGGGCCACCUUAACCUGCCUUGGUAUGCCUUGACCCGUCUUGCCCCGGCUUAACCCGCCUUGAACCGCCUUGACCCUCCUAGACUGCCAAGGGCCGCCUUGACCUUCCUAGAGCCGCCAAGGGGCUGCCUAGGGCCACCUAGGGCCGCCAUGACCCACCUAAGGCCGCAAAGGGGCUGCCUUUACACACUUUGAGCCUCCUAGGCCUGCCUAGGGCCACCUUAACCUGUCUAGGGCCGCCUUGACUAGCAUAGGGCACGCCAAGGGCCGCUAUUGGGACAUUUUGACCCGCCUUGACCCUCCUAAACCAGCGUAGAACCACCGCCAUGACUCGCCAAUGGGUCUCAAUGACUCUUCUAAGGCUGCCUUCACCCUCCUCGGCCCUGCCAGGCUCACCUAGGGCAGCCAAGGGGGCGCCAUGACCCACCAAGGUUUUACACAUCUUGACCCUCCUAGGCCCGCCUGGGGCCACCUUGACCCGUCUAGGGAUGCCAAGAGGCCGCCUUGACCAGCCUAGGGACGCCUUGACCCUCUUAGAACCGCCUAGGGCCACCAAAGAGCCGUCAUGACUCGCCAAGGGACGUCAAGGGGCUGCCUUUACACUCCUAAUGUUGUUUUCCCUAGGGCCCGCCAUGACCAGCCUAGGGCCGCCAAGGGGCUGCCUACGUCCGCCAUGAGGCCACCUUGACCCGUCUUGGGCCGCCUUGACCCGUCUUGGCCCGCAUUAGGCCGCCUGUACUCGUCUUGAACCGCCUUGGGCCAUCUAGACCCUCCGAGACCCGCCUAGGGCCGCCUUGACCCCCUAGACCCGCGUAGGGCCACUAAGAAGUCGACAUGACUCGCCAAUGGGUCUCAAUGGCUCCUCUAGGGCUCAAUGACUCGCCAAUGGGUCUCAAUGGCUGCCUUAACCCGCAUUAGGCCGCCUUGACCCGUCUUGUGUCGUCUUCACCCUUCUCGGCUCUGCCAGGCCCACCUUGGGUAGCCAAGGGGGAGCCAUAACCCACCUAGGGCCGUCACAGGGCUGCCUAUACACGCCUUGACCUUCCUAGGUCCACCUAGGGCCACCUUGACCUGUCUAGGGACUCCAAGAGGUCGCCUUGACCUGUCUAGGGUCACUAAGGGGCCGCCUUGACACGCAUAGGACCGCCCAAGGGACGUCAUGACCCGCCGAGAGGCUACCUUUACACGCAUAGGGUUGUUUUGACCUCUCUAAGGCCCGCCAUGACCCACCUAUGGCCGCCACGGGGCUGCCUAUACACGCCUUGACCUUCCUACGGAUACCUUGACCCGUCUACGGCCACCUUAACCCGCCUUGACCCACCAUGGGCUGCCUUGGACCCACCUAGGGCUGUCAUGAGGCCAGCUUGACCCGUCUAGGGCCACCUUGACCCGCCUUGGGUCGCCUUUGACCCUCCUUGGGCCACCUUAACCCUCCUUGACCCGCCUAGGGCCGCCUUGACCAGCCAAGGGCUGCCUCCUUGGGCCGCCUUGACCCUCUUAGAACUGCCUAGGGCCACCAAGAAGCCGCCAUGACUCGUCAAGGGGUUGCCAUGACCCUCGUAAGCCCGUUUAGGACCGCCUUAACUACCCUUGGGCAGCCUUCACCCUCCUCGGCCCUGCCAGGCCCACCUAGGGCAGCCAAGGGGGGGGGGGGGCCGACGACCCACCUAGGGCCGCCACGGGGCUGCUUUUACAUGCCUUGACCCUCCUAGGCCCGCCUAGGGCUGCCUUGACCCAUUUAGGGACGCCAAGGGGGCCGCCUUGACACGGCUAGGGCAACCAAGGGGACGUCUUGACCAGCCAUGGGGCUGCCUUUACACUCCUAAUGCUGUUUUGAUAUCCCUAGGGCCCGUCAUGACCCGCCUAGGGCCGUUAAGGGGCUGCUUGCUUACGUCCGCCAUAGGGCCACCUUGACCCUCCUUGGCCCGUCUUGGGCCGCCUUGACACGUCAUGGACCGCCUUGACCCGUGAUGGGCUACCUUGACCCACCUUGGCCCACCUUUACUCGUCUUGAACCGCCUUACACCGCCUUGACCCUCCUAGACCCACGUAGGGACGCCUUGACCUGCCUAGACACACGUAGGGCCACCAAGAAGCCGUCAUGACUCGCCAAGAGGUCUCAAUGACUCUUCUAGGGCCGCCAAAGGGCCGCCUUCACCCUCCUCGGCCCUGCCAGGCUCACCUAGGACAACCUACGGGGGGGCCAUGACCCACCUAGGGCCGCCUUGACCUGCCUAGGGCUGCCUUGACAUGCUUAGGGCCACCAAGGGGACGUCAUGACAAGCUGAGGGGCUACCUUUACACACCUAGGGUUGUUUUGACCUCCCUAUGGCCCGCCAUGACCCUCCUACGGCCGCCAAGGGGUUGUCUAGGGCCGCCAUGGGGCCACCUUGACCCGUCUAGAGCCGUCUUGACCCGCCUUGACCCGUUUUGGUCCGCCUUAACCCGGCUUGGCCUACCUUUGACUCGCCUUGGGCCGCCUCGACCCGCUUUGGUCCGUCUUGAUCCGUCUUGGACCGUCAUGGGCCGCUUUAACCCACCUCGAUCCGUCUUGGCCCGCCUUGAACCGCCUUGGGCCACCUUGACCCUACUAGACUCGUCAAUGGGUUGCCUAGGGCCGCCUUGACCUUCCUACUGCCGCCUUGACCCUUCUAGAGCCACCAAGAAGCCGCCAUGACUCGCAAGGGGUCGCCAUGAUCCUCGUAGGCCUUCCUUGGGCCGCCUUCACCCUCCUCGGCCUUGCCAGGCCCACCAAGGGCAGCUAAAGGGGCGCUAUGGCCCACGUAGGGCCGCCACGGGGCUACCUUUACAGGCCUUGACCCUUCUAGGCCCGCCUAGGGCCACCUUGACCCAUCUAGGUACACCAAGGGGGCCGCCUUAACACGCCUAGGGCCCCCAAGGGGACGUCUUGACACGCCUAGGGCCCCAAGAGGACGUCUUGACCAGCCAAGGGGUUGCCUUUACACUCCUAACGUUGUUUUGACCUCCCUAGGGCCCGCUAUGACCUGCCUAGGGCUGCUUACGUCCACCAUAAGGCCACCUUGACCCGCCUUGGGCCACCUUUACUCGUCUUGAACCGCCUUGGGCCGCCUUGAUCCUUCUACACCCGCCUAGGCUGCCAUGACCCUCCUAGACCCGCGUAGGGCCACCAAGAAGUUGCCAUGACUCGCCAAAGGGUCUCAAUGACUCUUCUAGGGAUGCCAAAGUGCCUCCUUAACCCGCCUUGACACGUGUUAGACCGCCUUCACCCUCCUCGGCCUUGCCAGACUCACCUAGGGAAGCCAAGGGGGGGCCAUGACCCACCUAGGGCAGCCACGGGGCUGGCUUUACACGCUUUGACCCUCCUAAGCCCACAUGGGGCCACCUUAACCCGUCUAGGGACGCCAAGAGGCCUCUUUGACCUGUCUAGGGCCGCCUUGACCCUCCUAUAACCGCCUAGGGUCACCAAGAAGCUGCCAUGACUUGCCAAGGGACGCCAAGGGGCUGCCUUUACAAGCCUAAUGUUGUUUUGACCUGCCUAGGGCCCGCCUAGGGCCGCCAAGGGGAUACCUACGUCCGCCAUGGGGCCACCUUGACCCGCCUUGGCCUGUCUUGCGCCGCCUUGACUCGCCUGGACCCUCCUUGGCCCGCAUUAAGUCGCCUUUACUCAUCUUCAACCGCCUUGACCCGUCUAGGGCCGCCUUAACCCCCUAGACCCGCGUAGGGCCACUAAGAAGCCGCCAUGACUCGCCAAGGAGCCGCCUUAACCCGCCUUAGGCCGCUUUGACCCGUCUUGGGCCGCUUUCACCCUCCUCGGCCCUGCCAGGCCCACCUAGGGCAGCCAAGGGGGUACCAUGAUCCACCUAGGGCCGCCACGGGGCUGGCUUUACACGCUUUGGCCCUCCUAGGCCCGCCUAGGGCCACCUUGACCAGUCUAGUUAUGCCAAGUUGCCGCCUUGACCUGCUUAGGGCCGCCAAUGGGACGCCUUGACACACCUAGGGCUGCCAAGGGGACGUCAUGAUCCGCCGCCUUUACACUCCUAGGGUCGUUUUGACCUGCCCGUCUAGGGACGCCAAGAGGCCGUCUUGACCUACCUAGGGCCGCCAAGAGGCCACCUUGACACGCCUAGGGCCGCCAAGGGGACGUCAUGACCCGUCGAGGGGCUGCCUUUACACGUCUAGGGUCAUUUUGACCUCCUUAGGGCCCGCCAUGACCCUCCUAUGACUGUUAAGGGGCUGCCUAGGGCCGCCAUGGGCCACCUUGACCCGUCUAGGGCCGCGUUGACCCACCUUGACCCGCUUUGGCCCGCCUUAACCCGCCUUGGACCGCCAUGGGCCGCCUUGACCCGCCUUGGACCUCCUUGGGCCGCCAUGACCCGCCUUCGGGCUGCCAUACCGCCUGGCGCCUUGACCUGCCUUGAACCGCCCUGACCCUCUUAGACCCGCCUAGGCGCCUUAACCCUUCUAGACCCGCUUUGGUCCCGCCUUGACCCGCCAUGGGCCGCCUUGACCCGCCUUGAACCUCCUAGACCCACCUAGGCCCACCUUGACCUGCCUUGACCCUCCUUGGGCCACCAUGAUCCGCCUUGACCCUCUUAGGCCGGUCUAAGGCCGCCUUGACCCUCCUUGACCCUCCUAGGGCCACAAAGAAGCUGCCAUGACUCGCCAAGGAGUCGCCAUGACCCUCCUCAGCCCAUCUAGGGCCGCCAAGUGGCCCCGUUAACCCGCCUUAGGCUGCCUUGACCCGUCUUAACCCGCAUUGACCCUCCUCGGCUUUGCUAGGCCCACGUAAGGCAGCCAAAGGGGCGCCAUGACCCAGUUAGGGCCGCGAAGGGGCUGCCUUUAUAUAAGAAUGUGUUGGAAGGAGUCUUUAUUAACAAAUGGAAUGGUUCCUCUCAUUUCACCUUCCCGAUGUGAAACUGAUGUUGUGCUGGUACCAACAAUAGGCUAUGACCAUAAUUUUUUUUUUUGUUGAGAGGAAUGACCAUAAAAAGUUGGACACUAGAAAACUUCUAAAACACAAACAUUAAGACCUCGUUUGGUUCGUGAAAUGGUUCAUUUAUCUUAAGGAAAGAAAACGGAAAUAAAAUUUCAUAAUAACUUUCUAUUUCGACGUUUGGUAACGCAAGGAAAUUCAUCGGAAAAGUUGUUAAAUUAAUAUUAAAAUAUUGUGUUGUGACUAAUUAAUGCAGGUAAAAUAAGAAGAAAAGUGGUUCAUUUGGAUUUUAGAAGGAAUCACUUUCCUCUAUGUUUUAUUUCCUUUUUCUUUCAAACACAGGAAAAGAAUAACUUUGCUUUGAUGAUGCUUACUUUCCACGGAACAAAAAAAACAAAGUGAACUGCUCAAACACUGUGGUAAACUUUCGAAAAUUA
rnacentral:lncRNA from 1 species